AGAUCGGAUCAUGUACUGCUUCUUCGCUAGACACUGAAUGAAGCGUGAGAUAUUGAGAAGCUCUCAUCAAAAUAAUGUCUGAAGUUACGUAUUUUUUAAUUGGUGGAUCAAGCAACAUAUGGAAAAUGACAGAAGCACCGGUCACUAACUACAAGUGCUGAGACCCAAAUUGAGGCUGAUGUUCUAAAGAAGUGGAGACAGUGACUAAGUCAAUUCGCACUCAACAACCUUAUUUGUGCCAGGGAACAAAUUUUCCAUAUUUUGGGAACAGUAUGAAAAUACACAGUGCAGGUUAAUAAAUGAGCCUGACAAGUU